CUCUGUACUUUUCUUCUUUGAUUUAACUGUUGAAGAAUGAAAUAACGUUGGAGAGAUGAUGGUGCUAGGAGCUGGAGUGCAACAGCUCCUUUUUGGGAUAAUUAGAAAGAAACUAGAUGCAGUCGAGCGGGAUGGAGAGGCUGAUAAAAGAGCAGCAGACUCAUCACAUCAAGAACUCAUAGAAGAAGGUUCUCAUCAAGAAAGUUAGUUAAUGAUGGUGGCUGGCUUGAACUCCGGUGAUCACGAAAAGACUCUUCGGUGACAUGGCUUGCUCCUCCUAUAUAUGGCUCACCGUUAACGAUGAUGGUGGUUGGUGUUAAACGCCGCAGCUCCAGUUUAGAUCGUGUCUCCUCCGCAUCUCUCGGUUAUGAUCGCAUCCAUGACGAGGGUUGAUAAAGGCUCCGGCGUGGCAAGGAUCUCAGACCCUCAUCCGGUGAGAUGAUCAUGACGGUGGCGUUGUAACGGUAACUGCGAUGAUCACAUUGUUCUUCGGUGAAUGAUACGAGUUCGAGAUGAAUGACGAGUGGCGGCGGUGCAAGUGAAUCUCCAAACCAACAGAGUAUUGAGAUUAAGUGGAGGAGAUAGAGAUCAACAAUGAAGGAGAAGAACAUGGCUCAGCUCUCGCUCUCUAUAUUAAGGUUGAUGAUAUAUCUAGAAUUAUGUACUCACGUUUAAUUUGCUUAUGAAAUUUUUUGGUUUUGUCUGGUUUGAAUGAUUGGGGUAUGAGAAAAGCUUGAGACUUUAGUAAAGAUGCUGCAAGAACAUCAUACACUCUAGGAUCUGUUCUCGGAUCAUUGUUGUAAAGUAAGCUUUGUGUUUAUAAUAGGAGUCUACUUGCUGUAAUGUUUCUCGCGUGUUCUUCUUUGCAGAGGUUUAUAAGAGAUGAGCUGCUGCUAUAACCAUUCAUUCCAUUACAUUCUCUAUAUAUGUGUUUAUUCAGCUU